rnacentral:lncRNA from 1 species
GAAUUAAUUGAUGUUUAAAUCUUCCCAGCAUCAAAAGUUCACCUGCAAUAUUUAAGAAAUAAAGAACUGCUAGCAGAGCAGGCUGUUCUGGUCCAUAGUUCACCCACUACCAUCAACCCUGGUUUUGAGCUACCUGCAGCACAGGAUUGGCUGGGUAAAAAAAUCUCAAAAAGAUAUCAGUCUGUUUGAUGGAAAUAUAUUACAUGGACAAAGAAAUGACUAAGGUUGUGAGACACUCAGAUAGUGGGAAUAUCUGCCCCCGAUCAGACCCUGCCCACAAAAAUGACUUGUGGGACUCAAAGAGGCUGGUGUGACUAGUCACAUAAAUUGUGUGAUCUAGCAACUAUACAUAACGUUAGUGCUUAGAAACAGUAGUUCUACAAUUAGAAACACAUGUGGUGAUGUAGACAAUGAUUGUUCAAAGAUGAGUAACAAAGGUGUGAAGUAAGGCUCAUCCUCACGAUGAUGUAUUUAAAUAUUCUCAUAAAUGUGAAGACAAACUAGCAUUAAACAAGACAGAAGAUAGUAAAGAGUACAAUAUUGGUGUCCUAAGACAUCUUCAGGUCAAUCUUUUGAUUUAGCUGCUUUCUGACUACAAUUCUACGUACCCAAAAGUUUUUGGAAACAGUUCAGGUAAAUUAUGGGUACAAAUGUGAAAAAUAUUUUAACACUUUAAAUAUGGACAUUAACAGUCACCAAAAUCUUCUUGAUUCUUUGGAACAGUAUAUCAACAGUAGAAUUAUUUUCUGCAUGAGGGAAAAGAAUUUGCUAUGAUUAGCAUACAAAUUGCCUCUAUAUUCAUCAUUACCACAGGAUUUUACACCAAAAAAUGUUUGUGUUCCUGCCAGUGACUG